UUUGUUCUUCGUCAUCUGAUCUUCUUUUUCAUCGACCAAAAACGUUACCAGUUACAGAUUCGUCUCAUUAAACCUCUUCUUAACUCCAUCAACCACGAUCUGGUCUUGAAUGUGAACUUCUCUUCUCCGAGGCGGUGUCACUGCGAAUAUAAAAAGUUAAGCCUUCCUCUUAUCAAGACCAUCUUCUCGAUCUGUUGAACCAACAAAGUAAAGUUAUUUUCACAUAAAUGGCUAACUCGAAAGUUCUUAUUUCUCAUUUGAAAUCUGGUAAAUUUUCUUCUCCGGUUGAGGUUAGGUUGAUGCGUUGACUUCCUCUGCCUAGCAAAG
rnacentral:lncRNA from 1 species